GACGAACGCUGGCGGCGUGCCUAAUACAUGCAAGUCGAGCGAACCAAUGGGAGCUUGCUCCCUGAGGUUAGCGGCGGACGGGUGAGUAACACGUGGGUAACCUGCCUGUAAGACUGGGAUAACUUCGGGAAACCGGAGCUAAUACCGGAUAAUUUCUUUUCUCGCAUGAGGAGAGAUGGGAAGAUGGUUUUGCUAUCACUUACAGAUGGACCCGCGGCGCAUUAGCUAGUUGGUGAGGUAACGGCUCACCAAGGCGACGAUGCGUAGCCGACCUGAGAGGGUGGUCGGCCACACUGGGACUGAGACACGGCCCAGACUCCUACGGGAGGCAGCAGUAGGGAAUCUUCCGCAAUGGACGAAAGUCUGACGGAGCAACGCCGCGUGAGUGAAGAAGGUUUUCGGAUCGUAAAACUCUGUUGUUAGGGAGGAACAAGUACCAUAGUAACUGAUGGUACCUUGACGGUACCUAACCAGAAAGCCACGGCUAACUACGUGCCAGCCGCCGCCGUAACAC
rnacentral:rRNA from 1 species